rnacentral:misc_RNA from 1 species
GUUCGGUCUUAUCAUAAAUAAAAUUUUCAUUUUCCCCUUCUAUUGAUAACUGGGCAGAAUUUUUUAGAGGGUCUCAAAUAUUCCAUCAAGAUUUCUCCUUGCACAUAAACUCAAAAAUUCUAUCAAAAACAUUUCUUCUCAACAAUCGGGACAGAAUUUUGAGAAGAUCUCAAAAUUGCUGAAAAUCAAGAUUUAAGCUACAACUACAACUGAUCAGAAUGACAAAAGUUCUACCCUGG